rnacentral:rRNA from 1 species
UACAGAGGUCUCAAGCGUUGUUCGGAUUCAUUGGGCGUAAAGGGUGCGUAGGUGGCAUGGUAAGUCGGAUGUGAAAUCCCGGGGCUCAACCCCGGAACUGCAUUCGAUACUGCUGAGCUAGAGUACUGGAGAGGAGAUUGGAAUUUACGGUGUAGCAGUGAAAUGCGUAGAUAUCGUAAGGAAGACCAGUGGCGAAGGCGGCAUCCUGGACCAACACUGACGCUGAGGAGCGAAAGCCAGGGGAGCAAACGGG